GGCUGGUCUGUGUGCCCUGGUGUUUACAACUAAGAUCAUGAGUUACAGAUUUCUUUGUUCCUUCUUCGCUCCCACUGCUUCACUUGACUGGCCUAAU
ensembl:misc_RNA Y_RNA Y RNA